UGUCACUUAUAGAUGGACCCGCGCCGUAUUAGCUAGUUGGUGGGGUAACGGCCUACCAAGGCGACGAUACGUAGCCGACCUGAGAGGGUGAUCGGCCACACUGGAACUGAGACACGGUCCAGACUCCUACGGGAGGCAGCAGUAGGGAAUCUUCCGCAAUGGGCGAAAGCCUGACGGAGCAACGCCGCGUGAGUGAUGAAGGUCUUCGGAUCGUAAAGCUCUGUUGUUAGGGAAGAACAAAUGUGUAAGUAACUGUGCACAUCUUGACGGUACCUAACCAGAAAGCCACGGCUAACUACGUGCCAGCAGCCGCGGUAAUACGUAGGUGGCAAGCGUUAUCCGGAAUUAUUGGGCGUAAAGCGCGCGUAGGCGGUUUUUUAAGUCUGAUGUGAAAGCCCACGGCUCAACCGUGGAGGGUCAUUGGAAACUGGAAAACUUGAGUGCAGAAGAGGAAAGUGGAAUUCCAUGUGUAGCGGUGAAAUGCGCAGAGAUAUGGAGGAACACCAGUGGCGAAGGCGGCUUUCUGGUCUGCAACUGACGCUGAUGUGCGAAAGCGUGGGGAUCAAACAGGAUUAGAUACCCUGGUAGUCCACGCCGUAAACGAUGAGUGCUAAGUGUUAGGGGGUUUCCGCCCCUUAGUGCUGCAGCUAACGCAUUAAGCACUCCGCCUGGGGAGUACGGUCGCAAGACUGAAACUCAAAGGAAUUGACGGGGACCCGCACAAGCGGUGGAGCAUGUGGUUUAAUUCGAAGCAACGCGAAGAACCUUACCAAAUCUUGACAUCCUUUGACCGCUCUAGAGAUAGAGUUUUCCUCUUCGGAGGACAAAGUGACAGGUGGUGCAUGGUUGUCGUCAGCUCGUGUCGUGAGAUGUUGGGUUAAGUCCCGCAACGAGCGCAACCCUUGAACUUAGUUGCCAUCAUUCAGUUGGGCACUCUAAGUUGACUGCCGGUGACAAACCGGAGGAAGGUGGGGAUGACGUCAAAUCAUCAUGCCCCUUAUGAUUUGGGCUACACACGUGCUACAAUGGACAAUACAAAGGGCAGCGAAACCGCGAGGUCAAGCAAAUCCCAUAAAGUUGUUCUCAGUUCGGAUUGUAGUCUGCAACUCGACUACAUGAAGCUGGAAUCGCUAGUAAUCGUAGAUCAGCAUGCUACGGUGAAUACGUUCCCGGGUCUUGUACACACCGCCCGUCACACCACGAGAGUUUGUAACACCCGAAGCCGGUGGAGUAACCAUUUUGGAGCUAGCCGUCGAAGGUGGGACAAAUGAUUGGGGUGAAGUCGUAACA
rnacentral:rRNA from 1 species